UACGUAGGUGGCAAGCGUUGUCCGGAUUUACUGGGCGUAAAGGGCGUGCAGGUGGUCUGUUAAGUUCAGGGUGAAAGCUCCCGGCUCAACUGGGAGAGGUCCUUGGAUACUGGCAGACUUGAGGGAGGUAGAGGAGAGUGGAAUUCCCGGUGUAGUGGUGAUAUGCGUAGAUAUCUGGAGGAACACCGGUGGCGAAGGCGGCGUCCUGGACCAACACUGACACUGAGGAGCGA
rnacentral:rRNA from 1 species